UWGAUAGAAACCGACCUGGCUCACACCGGUYUAAACUCAGAUCAUGUAAAAUUUUAAAGGUCGAACAGACCUAAUCCACUAACUUCUACGCCAACAAUUUAUUUUAAUCCAACAUCGAGGUCGCAAUCUUUUUUUUCGAUAAGAACUCUCAAAAAAAUUACGCUGUUAUCCCUUAGGUAAUUUAAUCUUUUAAUCUAAACUUAGGAUCAUAUAUCCAUAAAAAAAUGUAAAUAAUAAAAAAAAAAGUUUUUUAAAUUUUUCUAUCACCCCAAUAAAAUACUUAAUAAAAGAAUUGGGUUUAUUCUCUGCAAAAUAAUUCUCUCUUUAAAUAUAAAACUCUAAAGGGUCUUCUCGUCUUCUAUAAUUAUUUAAGCUUUUUAACUUAAAAAUAAAAUUCUAAAACUCUCAUAGAGACAGUUAUUUUUUCAUUAAACCUUUCAUUCCAGCUUUCAAUUAAAAAACUAUUGAUUAUGCUACCUUUGCACGGUCAAAAUACCGCGGCCAUUAAGUUACUACCAUUGGGCAGGCCARACUUGAAAUUAUAACCAACAAGCCAUGUUUUUAAUA
rnacentral:rRNA from 1 species